ACCUUGGUGGUGUAGUGGUAACACGCGUCCCCGAAGGUUGAAACGCCGGUUCAAUACCAGCCUGAGGUG